rnacentral:rRNA from 1 species
GACGUAGGAUGCAAGCGUUGUCCGGAUUUAUUGGGCGUAAAGAGUUCGUAGGUGGUUCGUUAAGUCUGAUGUUAAAGACUGGGGCUCAACCCUGGAAGUGCAUUGGAUACUGGCGGACUUGAGUGUGGUAGAGGCAAUCGGAAUUCCAGGUGUAGCGGUGAAAUGCGUAGAUAUCGGAAAGAACACCAGUGGCGAAGGCGGCUUCCUGGAUUCAUACUGACGCUGAGGCGCGAAAGCGUGGGGAGCAAACAGG